AGAUUUACAGCUUGACCAUUUAUUUACUGAUAAACACUACUUCACCUAAGAGACUUGAGUAUCCAGUUCUUCAUUGACCUUCAGCAUUCAGUUGUUUGUCUUCACCUUUUCAGGCUAAAACCUGAGAAGCCAUCACCAUGUUGUUGUUUCACACCAGAGUUUCCUGUGUCCAGCAUCUUCAAGACAGACUAAGCUAACUUUUCAUAUCUUUUGCACAUUAUAUUUAGGUUAGGUUAGGAGUAGGUUAGGUUUAUAGUAGAGUAUUUAGUUUGUAUAGUUUAGCUUUUUAUGCUAGUCUAGGGACAGUUAAAUUAGCAAAUUAAUUUAGUUCAAAUCACUACAGGCUAUUGUAUAUUGCAGAACCAAGUGAGACGAGGAAGACCACUGCUUCCAAGAUGCCGCUCAGAAAGUGCGUUGGACAAGUCUCGACCUUGCAGAUCCUGCCCCACUUAGCCCAACCACUUCCGACCAUGGGGUACCUCAAAGACCUCCGUCAACCAGCCGGCUGUGGAUGAUGGAUAACGCACCCACAACUCCUUCUCCAGUCUACAAGGUUCUGAAAAUACAGACACCCCCACAGUCCAAGAACAGCUGGAUGACCUCUGGACCCACUUGCCCCCGUUCACCAGUUGAAAAGAUAAGCUUUUUUAAAAAAUCUUCAAUUGUUAAUUCUGCACAAAGUGAUACACAAAACGUUGUAUGUAUUCCAUUUCAACAAACACAAACAUGAAAUGUAUAUUUAAAUACAUGACUUAAAGCAAAUCACACUAAACAUCAUCUUCUUUU